rnacentral:lncRNA from 1 species
GGGGCAGAGCUUGUACGUUUUGAGGCUCUUUUAAAUCUGGUUUACUCAAAAAUACUUAUGGGGGUAACUAAUGUUUUGAGGCAAUUAUUUGGGUUUAAAUUAUUAUCGGCUGAGAGUUUCAGUGUCUUCGAUUCCAAAAUGAGAAGUGUAACACACAGAUUUUAUGGGUUUGGAAGAAGAUAUAUAUAUAUUUUUGUCUAUGUAUAUGUAUACUAUACAUGGCUUAUGUGUGUACAUUUAUGACUGGAAGAUUAUGCUGGGCAUUUAACACCACACCUCUCAAGUUUAGUUUUUAUUAGAAAGGUAAAAUUAAAAAGAAUUGUAGCAUGUUAACUUAGAAAGCAAAAUUAUUCCCUAAGGACGUUCUGUGAAUGUCUUCAGAAUUUAUUUGUUUUUUAUGUGUGUUGAUGUUUUUCCUGCAAGUACAUUUGUGCUAUUCAUCACACACAUUACUGUUGACCACAGGUGCUUGAAGAGGGCUUUAAUGGGAGUAAGAGACAGCCGUGAGUCUCCGUAUGGGGGGAUGAGAAUAGAACCUGGUUUCUGUGGAAGUAGAUCCAGUGUUCUUAAUGACCGAGCCUUCUCUCCAGCACCAAGCUGCAGAAUUUCCUAAGCAACAUCACAUGGGAAUAGGAAACAUCUAAUUGUUGUCAGCUCCAAAGCCACUUUCUUAAUUUUCCUGUCACAGGCACCCAUGCAGUGGACUGCCUACUGUACAAUGGCAUGUUUUCUGUGGGCUGCAUGAAAUAGGUCUCAUGAGACAAUUAGUAUUGAGAAACUUCUAAUCCAUGUUCUUCCUGCACAGUUUUCUAGAUCUAUCAAUUUGUAAAGAACAGUAUAGCAUACAUUAAAAAAAUGCAGUAGCAAAGAUUUAGAAAUAGAUCUUAGAGAAAAUUAGUGGCACCGUGUUCCAUGUGCUGCUUCCUGUUAAUCUUCAUUUUCAUAGAAAAAUAGCAUAAUUGAAACAUUUGGGAUCUUAUUGCAGAUCAAUUAAAUGUUACAUACGAGCCAAGUAUGAUGAAUCAUAACUUGCUAAAUUCUAUCAUUUUGUUUUUAUUGUCAAAGUUAAUGGUCUGGAAAAUGGCUGUUUAGAAACACAUUGUAAGAAUAAGAAAAGCAUUAGUGUGGCACGGUUAUGGUACGACACACCUGUACCUUGGAUCUGGAGUUAAGAGAAUUAGAAGCUCAGGGACAGCACUGGCUACAUAGUGAGUUCAAGGAUAGCCAGGGUUAUAGGAUAACCUCUAUUAAAAGCAAAGGAAGCAGUUUAAAAAUAUUGCAAAUUUGGGAAAAUACUCUUUAACAUCUUACAUCAUGCUAUCAUUUCUAGAAUAGAUGUACUUAUCACCAUUGAAGCAUGUUUGAGCUUUAUUUUUCAAACUAUACUUCAUUGAAAAGACAUAUGCAGGGGCUUCAGAAAGCUAUGUUAUUUUAUAUGUAAAUAUAUAUGCACAACAAGUGUGUUUUUUAGUAGAUGUCAUUGAUAGGAUUAGAGUUAAUUUUUAAGAGUCUUUGUUCUGAACAAUUAUUUGGUUAAUUCUGUUGAGUAACCAUGUAAAACCAUGCAAAUGAAUUUUAAUAAACACUGUAGGAAUCUGUUUAUGUGUGUAUAUAUGUAUCUAAUAGGUAGUAGACAUAUGUACUGGAUGUGGCUAUGAUUGCAAAUCCAGCGUAAAUAGUAUCAACAUUCUAUUGUCUAUACUUACUGUUUACUACCCCUUAAUGGUUAAGCAUUCUUAUAAUAGUGUCUGCUAGGUUUCUAAACUAAUAGAAUAUGUUCAGGGUCAGGCUGAAGGUUUAGAAUCCUGUGCCCUUGAAAGAACCUAUCCUUGCAAUGUUUCAUCUAUGGCUUUAAGAGGUUCAUGGAUUCCUUUAAGGACAUCUAUUUUGGAAGCUGAAGUUAAGACUUGUUCUACCUAAUAUUUCUAAAUAAAAGUAAAGACACCAAGAACAACUUGC